rnacentral:rRNA from 1 species
UACGUAGGGUGCGAGCGUUGUCCGGAAUUAUUGGGCGUAAAGGGCUCGUAGGCGGCCUGCUACGUCUGCCGUGAAAUCCUGAGGCUUAACCUUAGGCGUGCGGUGGAUACGGGCGGGCUAGAGUCCGGUUGGGGAGACUGGAAUUCCUGGUGUAGCGGUGGAAUGCGCAGAUAUCAGGAGGAACACCGGUGGCGAAGGCGGGUCUCUGGGCCGGUACUGACGCUGAGGAGCGAAAGCGUGGGGAGCGAACAGG